UCCCUUGUAGCUCAGUUGGUAAAGAAUCUGCCUGUAGUGCAGGAGACCCUUGUUCGAUUCCUGGCUUGGGAA
rnacentral:tRNA from 1 species